UAUAGAUGGGUCACAGAAUGUUCUUUUAAUUAUUUUCUUAUAUAAUUUAGAAACAGAUAGAUCGGUCUCUUAAUAUGUACUAUUGUUUUUCAAUUCCUGUUACUGUUCACGAUGUGCAACUGCCUAAUUCUUAUAUUUAAUUGAAUAAUGGGUUUGUUUAAAUAAAAUCAUAUAUAUUAAAAAAAAAUUAAUAGAUAUACCACUGAACUAUAUUAAAUCAUGCUCUAAUAACACAUUUAUAGAAUUAACUUAGUUAAUCAUGCAUUAUUGCAUUGUUUAAUUAUCUUUUAUCUUUCCCUCUAGACUAUGCAUAGUUGUUCGUAAAUUAAAACUGUAUAUAUAUGUGUUGAGUUCGUUUUCAUAAAAAAUGAGUAAGAUCGAUAUGUACCUCCCACCUAAUAGAAUUAUCCCAUUCAUUUCAGCUCUCUAGUUCCUUUCAUGCUUUAACAUCAUUUAAAUCGAUGAUUGUGCAUGUAUAUAUAAUUUAUAAGCAAUUCUAUUAUAUAUUAAUGUCUUAAAUCGCAUGUAUAAUUAUAAUUUGUAUAUAUGUUUACUUAAUUAUAUUUACCUCUGAUUCAGAUUCUAACCCAAGCUUGCUUGUCAAGUACUUCAUCACCAUGCAAACCUUCAUCUUCUCAUCUCUGAAUAUGUUAAAAGGUAGAGAGAGAUCGAGUUAAUUACAUUGGUUAAAAAUCUGGUACGGUUAAAAUAGUAAUCUUUUAGAGAAUUACUUGAUUCUGUAAUAACGUUUGGGUGUUAACUGCAGGAGAAACGGUCGUCUCACGUCCCUACAUUGAACAACAGAUCGAUGAGAAGACCUUUCUUUCGUUAAUGGCUUCCUUCGUAUGCAUUGCAUUGCGAUGUAUGUAGUAUUAAUUACUUACUGCUUUUGUGAUACUUCAAGCGUAAACCACAGCCCAUUCUGCGACCGAUGAGGUGGAAAAACUACUCUCACGCCUUCUGAGUGAUUUCUACUUCCGGUCGUCGCAUUAUGCAUUAUUGGUUUCUCUUUCUCUUUCGGAAUAGAUGACCCCCAUGUCAGAUUCGUCGACGGGCCAAUACCGGCGGCCGAUGACAUAAAACACAAAGAAUUCGGCUCCGUAAUUCGAGAUCCAGACGGUCUGACGUCGGAGAACAAAUUCAGGCCUAGCAAUCCUUCUCGGUGUUCGAUGGCGUGUUUCCAGUUUUCCACUGACGAUGUACUACAACUACUUCCAACACCUAAUCGAAGCCACCCUUCAUCUCUACCAGCAUUUCCACACGUUAACGACCCCGCGCCGUCGCAUGGAGGGAAAUCACUUGUUCCUCGUACAGACUCAUCGUUUCUAUUAAUAACCUCAACUGCGCCACUGAAAUCCAUAUCAGAACCUCCGGUUCUCGAUCGUGUCUUUCUCCGCCAUGGAUGAUUAAUUAAUUGGUGAGAGGGAUUAUCAUGGUAGGAACAAGCUUGCUAGAUCCACGACCUACCGUAAUGAAUGAUGGUAUGAUCAUCUCUACUCCCGCGCGAUGACCGACAGGGGUGAUCAAUUUACAAGAUGAUUAAAAUAAGAAGAGGGAAUGAUAUACGGUUUUCUCUAUCUGUAUUUAAGUUGGUGGAUUAUAUAUGCAUGUACGUACAUGAUAUCCAUCUAUCUAAAGGAGUUAAAUUAACUUAAUAUGACAUAUGUGAUUAUAAUUUUUCUCCAGAUUAAUUUUAGACAUCGUUAAAAUAGACUAUUAAAAGAAGAGAGAUUUAUAUAAAUACAGAACCUGACUUGGUAGGUGCGUCAACCUGGUUGCACCAUAACUGCUGAACCUUAUAAUUGCAUCGAUCUAAAUUGAUUAACUAAAUAUAUUCAUCAAUCUAUAUUUUACGUAUUGUUAACUUGUUGUUCAUUGGAUUGACAUAAAUGAAAACAAAUUAAACAUAUUAAUUGAUUAAAAAAUAAUUAGGAGAAAUGUCCAUGCAUGGAUAUAAAUUAAUUGGAUUUGUAUUUUUGUAGGAUAUUGGAUUGGAUUGUCAAAAUCAAAUCAAACCAUAUAUAAUAAUAAUGCAUGAUGAUGAUAAACACUUGACAUAAAUAAUUAGAGGGUUGGUUAAGUAAUUAAAUUAAAUUAAUUAAUUAGUUAGUUAGUUAAGUAAUAUGGAUCGUGAAUCAGUGAUCGUCAGAAAAUCACUACAAAUAUAUAAUACAAUACAUGUGCGAUUAAAUUCAAUACCUAAAAUAACUUAUUGUACAAGAUUUUAACAUAUUUAACAUUCGCACAAGUUACCAUGCAUUAAUUUAUGAGUGAAUUUUAGUGCAGUAAUUAAAAACUAAUUAAGUACGUAGUCCAUUAAUCCAAAUAGUGCAAACAACGUACUUAUAAAAAAAAUUAGAUCUAUUAAAUAAUUUCGACCAAACAAAAAGAGGAAAAAAUAAAAUAUUAUAGAUGGAUCAUCGAUCAAGAUCAUGCAUGGAUGUGGCAGAAAAUUAUGAUCAUGCAUGUAUGUAAUAAAAGUUGUGGGUAAGGCAAAUACUCCCAGAUAUUGUGUCGAGCAGAGACACCUCGCUAGACCAGAUGAUGAGCAGGGCUGAGAGAAGAAUUAAAGGGUCUAAAUGCUGGGCUUUCACGUGGGCAAUCAUCGCGGCAACAACCUGGGCAAUUUGGAUGGAAAGGAACAAAGGGAAAUAUGAGGAAAAAUACACAAUUACAGGGGGGAUCGCUAAAAGGAUCAUCUCGGAUACUACCGUUAGGACAAGAAUCUCUAAAUUUAAAAAGACGGGAUCCAGGGAAGAGGAGGAACUAUACAGACUAUGGACUCUAUGAUAGGUACGUACUGGUAUAUUAUUUGCAGGAAAACAUAACGGGAUGGGCAAAAUCAUUGAGGGAAGGAUUGAAAGCCAUCGAAAUAUUGGGUGAGCCACCAGAAUGAGGGCAAAGACAAAAAGGCAGGUACAAAAUUAUUCGACCCGGCCCAGAGCAAAGUGGGCCUUGGGAAAGGGGAUAAUCUAAGUGAAACUGGAGUGCCAGGAAAAAUGGAUUGGAGCAUCUUGUUAGAAGUGGAACCCCUGCUUAGGGUCCAGACGGAAGAUGGUCUAUCAUCAAUGAGUGAGGUAAGAGAGCUACCUAAAUGAGGUCGGGCCAUCAAAUUGAGUAAGAACAGAGUGCCACCAAAAAAGGGGUUAACAGGACUUAAAGGAUCGACUAAAAGGAAGAAUUUAUAUGGAUUAUUGAAGCCUCUGUUUGGGACUAUCCAAAAAUGACUCCGCAAACAUCAUUGAGUGAGAUACAAGAGCCACCAGAAAAGGGUUGGGCCACCAAUAUGAGUGAGGACAGAGGGCCACCGAAAAAGGGGUUUAACAGGUACAUGAAGCGUGAAGAAAAAGGAGAAGAACUGAGCGGGAAUGAAGUUCAAGGAUUGGACGGAUGUUGCUUGAGAUCGGCAGGAGGAGUGCUCCGAAUCACAAGUGCUAAAUCACGAGUGGUACAUGAAGAAUGAACGUGAAGAUAAAGGAGAAAAACUAAGCGGGAAUGAAGUUCAAGGAUUGGACGGAUGUUGCCCGAGAUGGGCAGAAGGAGUGUUCUGAAUCACAGGGGAUGAACCACGAGUAGUACUAAACAAUCUGAAAUAGCUGUUGGUUAAAAAAUGGAUUAUGUAUUAAAUAUGUAGCGGUAUAGGCUAAGAAUGUAGAGGUAAUCUCUAGAAUUGUUGUAUGUAUAUCACAGCAAGGUUUAGAGACUCGAAGACGAGUUGAUUGUAGCUCAGACUUCUUUUUGUUUAAAAUCAAUAAAUUGUCGAAAAAGGUUUUAAUCAAAAAAGUAAUAGAAGUUGUGGGCCUGUGGCGGUCUUCCGUCCACCCGACUGACCCGAUUGAGAUAAGAUCGAUUUCGUGAAUGGAGCUUUAGGGUCCGAUUUUAGGUCAUCGUUUUAAAUCCACUAAUAUCGGUCCAAUAAGAAGAUUGGUGUGACUUUUGAGCAAACCCAUUAACCAUUUCUUCAGCCAAUGCCGACAUUUGACCAAGUAAAGAGAUCUUGAGGUUUUGGUGGACACUUGGGCCCAUCAUCUAACUAAACAAAUAAGUUAGGAUUAGGUUUAUUUGUAAUUGGGCUUCUUAGCCCAUUAACCGAGUCAAUCAUAUCUUUAAAGUCUGAUUAGUAGCUAGCUAGUUAUGCUUCGGAAUUCAUUUGAACUGGGGCGCGCGCACACACAUGCACAUGCACUAUUACGAAAGCAUCUUGUUGUAGCUGGAAAUAUCAGAGGAGCAGAAUGGGUGAUAGACUGAUAGAGAGAGAUAUUGACGGACCAAUCCAGUGACCACAAAUGGCAGAAAAACAUACAAGGACGGCGGUGCAUCGGAAAACCCAGGUUACUCCAAUGUCAAUGUGAAAAUCACGGUGAACAAAUACUUGUUUCAGCUCGUUUCCCAAGCACCAUCUGCUGGACCUAGCUAGAUGAUCGAUGGGUGGAUGGAUGGACAGGAAAACAGUGAUUAAUGAAGAAGCAUUGAUUUCAUCAAGGAACGGAUACGUGUCGAUUUCGUCGUGACAAGUGGCGGCUGGAUUAGAACGGCGAGUAUUGGUGCAGUGAAUUGUGGGGAGAAGGGAAAAAAAGGUAACAAACCCCUAUUGAUGCCCAUUUGGCGGCCUCGAUGGCAUUAAUGGUAGACAAGGAAAGAGGUGCGGUAGCGGUGUGCAGACUUUUUUCAACACUUGGAAGCCGAUCCCCGCUAUCAUCCCUUCUCCUCCUUUCACCAUUCGAGCAAUCAACCCCCCUAUUCACCAACGGGAUGGUGUCCAGGACUACUUUUACCAUAAUAACACCAUUCAUCAAUCACCAGUUCACACUUCUCAACCACUCUCUCUUUUUUCUUCUUUUUUUUCCUCUCCAUCUUCUCGAUCUUGGUUUCUAGUUUCCAAUUUCCACCACUGCUGGCAUUGCCAUGGACGGAGAGGAUGGGUCAUCCUCUUUCCCUUUUCCACAAAUAGGUUUCCAUGGGGAGAUCAGGAGGCGGAAGAGGUCGGCCAGGCAGAGACGUGUCUUCCAGACUAACUCAGAAGAAUUCCCCAGAUCAGAAAGCAAACUGGUUUAUCCAUUCAGAUUCCUCCUGCAGAAGGAACUGAGGAACAGUGACGUCGGCUCUCUUGGUCGAAUGAUUCUUCCAAAGGUCGAUUUUAUUUCUAUUAUAAUCAAUCUGAUUAAUUAAUUAAUUAAUUACAAUCGACGUCUACCAGAAAGAGGCCGAAGCUCACCUACCUGCUCUUACUGCAAGAGAAGGAAUGAUGCUUUGCAUGGAUGACAUGGAGACUCUACAGCCGUGGACUUUCAAAUACAGGUUUUGGCCCAACAACCGGAGUAGGAUGUAUGUGCUUGAGAACACCGGUAAUAUAAAAAAAAAUGAUCGGAGAUUUGGAUUUCGUUGUUGCCGGAAUGAUUGAUUAAUUGGAAACUAAAUUACAAAUUUGGUAGCUUAAUUACAGGGGAUUUUGUCAAGGCGCAUAGGUUGCAGCUUGGAGAUUUCAUCAUGCUCUACAAAGACGAUUGCCGAGACAGAUAUGUACGUACGUGAUACUGUGCAUGUAAUCGUGUAAUUAGUAUUUAAAAUCAUAAUUAAUCAAACCAAACAAAAUUCUAACAUGAUCGAUUCGUUUUACGAUUAGAUCAUCCAUGGUCGUAAGAUUGGCGCUCCGGUAGCAGCAGCAGCAGCAGAUGAAGAAGAGGCUACGGAAGAAGAAGAAGCUACUCGUCCGCUAGAAGCGGCGGAGACGGAAGAAACUGCGUCGUUUUGCCGGGAUAUGUAUCAUCCUUGGGCUGGUUAUGACGAUAACAUGCAGCACGACGCGGCUUACUCGUUAGAUUUCUCGUUUUUCUUCUCUAACGACAUAAUCGAUAAUCGAAGAGUGCUGAAAUCGUUUCCGAGUCUGGAUUCCAUUGAGAAUCUUUCCCUGGAUGACUUUUGAGUUUUGAUCCGGCCGGCAACCUGCCGACGGUGGCUCAUUCUACCUUAUCAACAUGUCGAGAAAAAAGUCGGUGUCACCGUGUCUUUUUUUGAUUAAAAUAAAAUCGCAUCUUUUUGGAUUUUAUUUAGUUUUAUCGAAUGGAUUUUUUUAUAAUACUAAAGAGGUAUAGGUACCGAUAUGAUAUUCUUCAAGAAUUAGGGUUUCGUUGACCCACUAACUACAUAAUCCCAAAUUGCUCGAUCUCCAUCGACACCAUUGGCGGCGCGCAAUUCAUCUCUCAAAUCACAAACCUUUUAUAUAAUGAUGCCGUCGAUGAAUUUCAUUAUUUCUUUUUAUGAUUUUCUCUUCGAUUCUUUCCUCUCCUUUUUCUUCCGAUCCUCAUUUGUUUUUCUUUUUCCGUCCACCAUGAGCAAAUGAUGAAACAUUUUGUCAUCGUCUGAGAUUCUCUCCGUGAAGUCUCUGCAAAAUCGAGCUUUUUAAAACUGAUGCUCUUCUGGUUUCUGUUCUUCUGUUUUUAAUUUUUUUCUCUUAGAUCUCUUGUCGUACAAUUUUUUGUCCUUUAAUUUCUAUUUCUGAAUCGAAAGCCCUAUUUUUUUUGUUCGGAGUAGCAAGCAAAUGAUGAAGCAAUUUGUAAUGAAACUGAGAUUCUCUCCGUGAGGUUUCUACAAAAUCGAGCUUUUUAAAACUGAUGCUUUUGUAAAGUUUUCUUCUUCCACAUUUGCUACUUCUGAUUUCUGUUCUUCGAAUGUACAUAGUUAUUUUGCCUUUUUCUUGCCAAAGAUCAUUAGAUCUUGUACGAUUUUUCAUCUUUACUGUUAUCUUAAUCUCUAUGUGUUUUUACAAUGGAUUUUCUCAAUCUGACUUAAUUUGAAUUGCAAAAUAUUUUGAUGAUCUAAAAUAUCAGAAAUGUACGGCGAACAGAUAAUAGCUAUCUAUCUGACAAAAUUCAUCAUUUUUGAUUGGUUCAUCGGAUUGCAAUUUCAAAAUCGAACAUUCGUCAUGGUAUUCCAGUUGAAUCGAUAAAAAAAUUGAAGAAUCUAUAUAUAAUUUUUUAUAAAGAGAUUUUUAUUUAUUAAUCUUCAAAUAAUUUUUUUCAUUCAUUCAAAAUUUAAAUCUUAAAAUAUAAAUAUCCUAAUCUUAAUUUAAACAAAAAUAAUUGAGUCUUAAAACUUAUCAUUUUUUUAGAGGCGAUUUAGAUUAAAUAUAAAAUAAAGAUAUUGCAAAAUUACAAUAAAAAACAAUUAAGUAAACAAUUAAAAUUACGAUAGUAUAUGUGAAAUAGAUAUAGCUUGUUAAUCUUCGACUUAUAUAUCAGUAACCAAUAGCGAAACUUCUUCCUAUCUUCUGAUAGUUGUAUUUUCCAAACUUAACAUGUGUGAUUUCCUAUCCCACUUGCCGAUUUCCACAACCGACUCAUUGAUUCACUCGCGGAUCAUAGAAUCGCAUUCAUCACAACCAAAUCAGGGGUUUCCUUGUGGGAUCAACCCUAAUCGCUCGUGAACGACGGCGGCGAAAUUAACUCGAUCGCUGGCUCCUGGGAGGACUCGCUUGUGGUGGAGCAGCAGUGUUCGCGAUUUGCUGAUGCCGAUUAUGCGGCUCACGCGUCUCUCGCAGUGGAGCAACGGAAGGAAGUCAGCUGAAGCUUUUUGUAAUAGAGGAGUCUGUCGCUCGCGGAAAGUGGACGUGAUAUGUCGUUCACGGUCAGGGACGUUCGGUCAUUUUCUCGCUCAUCGCCCAAAGGGAACUUCACUUCGCUCGCUCUGCGCUCGCUCGAUACAGUGAUACCUAAGGUAAGUUUACAUUUUCUUAUGGAAAUCGGUAAAUGAGAAUAAUCUCAGAAUAAUCUAGUUUGAUCUAUGUGAUUGAAAUGGAAAAUUAAUGAAUGACUAAAAUCGAAAUAUUGAUUUAGUUCUUAGUGAUUUCUCGUCUGAUAAUUUAGCUAUUUGGAACAUUGGAGGUGGAGGUGGUGAAGUGAUGGUAGAAUAGACAGAAAAAAAUAAAUUUGGUCCUCCCUCCCAGUCCGUCCCAUCCAGUGCCCUUGGCGUGGCCCGUGCCCACAUUAGUGGUUGUAUUCUCAUUGUUGAGCAAGCAGUUAACAGGUUCAAAGUCUCUAGAAAAGCUAAAUGACGCCAGCAACAAAACAAGAUUAAACUGCCACGCUGCACAAGCAAAUACAAAAACCGUCAAAACCUGGAGCGAAUAUUCUACUAUACACGCAAUUUGACCAAGACUCAUGAAAUGAAUAACGAAGAAGUUGAAGGUCCAAUAUGCAAUAGUUUCAAUAAAACGGAAAUGGGUCAAUUCUGAUGGAUUUAAAGAAGUAGGCCGGAAUAGUUUUAUUAAAUGAGUUGGAAUAGAAUCAGGUAAAUUUCAUCUCUUUUCCUUAAUAAAUAAGCUUGAAGUCUAUUUCUGAAUUAAACCCUUAUCGUCUUGUCUUCAAGCUGUUGAUCUUUCUUUUUCAAAUAGUUGUCAGUUAGUAUCAAGGCCCGUCCAGACGGACCAUAGACCGAACAGAUCAGAAGGCUCAUGAAGGUUUCCUAUACAUACUUUCCUUGUGAGAGUUGUGUGUGCAAGCCGGGCGGAGCCCUACCCCCUUCGGGCCAGGGGGGGUACUGUUGGUACCAAGAUCCGUCCAGACGGAUCAUGAGCCAAACAGACCACAAGGCCCAGAAGGUCCGAGGAAAUUGAGAUUUAUUAAAAGGAAUAUCAAAGAGUUGUGUGUGUAAACUCCCGAGCCCACACACUAUCAUUGUCUUUGCAGGUGUUAUUGCUUCUACUGUGCCACUUUGCUUUGCUGUUAGUUUUAUCGAGUUUGGUUUUAUCCAACUUAUCAUCUUUGAAUUCUAAAUAUCCUCAUUCAGUUGAGUUUUUAACCGAGUCUUUGGUGAAUUCAAUUUAGUUACCCGACAAGAUAGUUAAUGUUAGAAUUGCUGUAUCUCUAACAAAUCAAAUCCAUUAACUCAUCUUUACUUACACGUUUAUUGUUGGACGCCGACACAUGAAUGUGCUCAAACCAACAUGUUUUUAUGGUUGUCGAUGAUAUUCACCGACUCCUCUCGCAUCUUUAUUUUUGUCUUUAUUUAUUUCCGAAAUAGUAGUUGAAUCGUCAGAUUGUCGACUUAUUUUUAACAUCAAAUAAUUUAAAAUCGCUGAGAAAUCAUGUGUUCACCAUGUGGGUGUUGAAUUUGGGGGUCUUGAACACAUUGAAAUUCAAAAUCUUUUUUGAUUCCUCUUCUCCUUUUUUAUUCCUUUUAUGUUCAUAAUUUUACAUACCUGUCGGCAAGUGGAAUCUAUUUUGUGGGUAGGCUUUUAUUAUUUCUUAAAACAGUUAGAUUGACUUAACUAAUCAGGGUAAUUAUUAAAGUUGUUGAUGAUUUUAGAUUCUAUUCUAACUGUAUUUUUAUUUAAUUUUGCUUGAAUUGUGAAUUUAUUUUUAAUUUUUGACGUAUCAACUAAUAAAUAGUACAAAAUAAUGGAAUAAUUAGAAUCAUAUAUUUCUAUCUGAAAUUUAUUGGAAGAAAAUAUUUGAAAAUAUCGUCUUGAUCAUAUAACAAUCAAAUUACAAAAAAAUUACAACCCAGACAAGUUUUGAAAUCGAUGUUUGUGACCAAUCUGCUCUAGUCUGGGGUUCUUGAAUUAGGGAUUAUUAGUUUUCUUUCUUCUUCAUUUCGAGUUUUCAACCACGUAAACUCCCCGCAGGUGUAGUUGUUGAAGAAGAGGAGGAAAAAGACUUGCUCUGCUCCAUCUUGUUCUUGUUAGCAAGUUUCUGGUUCACAUAUUCAUCCACAUCUCCGACAGAAGAGUACGAGCUUGUUGGGUAUGGAGCCGCGGAAGUCAAUCUGAAGUGAAUCCACAAAACCGACAUGUUAAAUAAUCAUCGUACACGUACGCUAUUUUUAGGAUACUUUUUUUAUAUGGACAGAUAGAUAUACCUCUCCUUCCUUUUCUCAAAGAACCUCUGAAGUGACUUCUUCCGGUAAAGCGGCAUAUCUGAAAAUUACGGACAAAAUACAACAGAUUUAGAAUCGAUCCUCCUCCAAUUAAAAAAACUCUUUGUGGGUUUUUUUUUACCUCCAUUUGAAUCCGUAUUGAACCGUUCCAUCAGAAUUCCUCUCUGUUGGUGUUGGUGUUGGUGUUGGUGUUGUUGUUGGUGGUGGUGUUGUUGUUGGUGUUGUUGUUGGUGUUGUUGUUGGUGUUGUUGUUGGUUUGGGGGCUGGGGCUGUUCUAUCUCUUGUUUGUGUUUCAGCUGAAUCUUCCCCUCUUCAGCCAUCUUCAUCAAAUUCGCAACCUGGAAUGCAUGAUUAUUGGUUAAGCACGAGAUAACAAGUGUAUAGAGAUGUGUCAGCAUGUCAGGUAAUGUCUUUACCACUUCAGCGGUUGCUUCAAAGUAAGAGAUGGUGCCAUUGUAGAAGAUGGUAAGAGGAGCCGUUUUAACCGGAGAAGGAGAUACCGGAGCAGGUUGGGGCCCUGUUGGUUGCGAGAUUAUAGAUUUGAGAAAAUUAGGGUUCAAUCUAGAAGCUGCGUUCUGGAGAUCUGUCGAAAUCCAAUCCAAAUCCAAGGAAGUUAUCGUCAGCAAAAAAACAAAAACAAAAAACUACAUGGAAGAAUUAAAGAGAGGGAAAUAACCUAAACAGAAAAGAAAAGAAAUUAUCAUCUAACCUCUAAUGGAAGAUAGUUUUUUGGAAUCGGAAGGAAGUUGUUGUUCCUGCUGCCUCUGUGUUCUCUCCAGACCAAGGAAAUCGAACUCCACAGGCAUGGUCGAUUUGGAUUUGUUCGUCUGACAGAUGAGGCGACGAUGGUGGUGAUUUAAAGAUGAGAUUGGAGGAGGAGGAGGAAGAGAGAAGGAUAUCAUAUUUAUUAUAAAAUCAAACUCAAUAAGAGAACAUGAAUGGAAAAUACGGAAUAAAGCAACGUGCUUAAUUGAUAAAUAAAAAAGAAUAUAAUUUCAGAUCCGUGUACAAUUUUACCCCUGGUUUUAAUAAAAUCGAAACUAACGUAAAUGAUAGGAACAAAAUCUUUUCCGAAUCUUGUGCAGCUCUAGUGAUUGGUGUGAAUAAUAUUAAGGGGUAGUUUCGGUAUUGAUUUAUUAUGUGGGCUGGGUUUCGAAACCAGGUCUCCCUAUUAAAAAAAUAAUAUUAAAUAGUUGGCGUGGAUAAAGGAGUAAAGAGUCAUGGACGAGAAAAACGUGCAUCAAUAUUUAAAUUCUAAAUGAAAAUUUAAUUAAUAUCAGCCUAAUUUUCAUUGACUGGGUGGUCGAAUGGUAGUUAUCUUUGACUCCUCCUCUUUGGAUCUCUGUAUUCUGUUUUAUUCAGGCUUUUGGAAAUUUCUUCGUUCGUUCUCAAAAUCACGUAAUAUAUCGUCAGUUAAAUCCUACUAAAAUUUAAAUAAGAUAUGUAAAUAACAAGAUUCGAACUUUGGAUUCUCAGAAAACUUAAAAUUGGUCAGGACAUCAAGAAACAAACAAAAGUUCGACGAUUCCAAAUCUGGUGAGAUGUCACCUGAUUAAUAAUGAUAAUACUUAAGUUUGGAUUAGCGAUGUUGUUUAGAUCAUUUAGGUUACCUAAUUUGAAGUUUCCUUUAAAGUUCCUACCUAAUUAAAAAAAACAUAAACGUAGACUAUUAGUUUUCUUUUUAUAAUAAAAUCGUGAUAAAUAUACUCAAAAAAAUAGUACACCACGUAACAAUGAACUCUGCUGACCCUAAUCCUAUAUAUAGACGUAUUUGAAAGUUACAAAUAAUACAACUCGUGGUACAAAAAAGUCACUUGGUUUUGUUUACAAGUUGGUCUUUUGAUGUUAAUUUGACAUUGAUUAAUGCUCGAGUUUCAAAAUCUAAACACAAUGUAGAACACACUUUAGAAUUCAAAUUGAGAAUUCAAAAUUGGGAAUAUAAAAUGAUCCAAGUUUCGAUCUAGAAAAUAACAUUAAAAAAUUGAAUGGGUAACAUUUGUCAACGAAAUCAGGUGAUCUUUGGGACAAUCAAGAUUAAGAUAACUUCAUUUUCAAGCUUGUAAAUGAAUAAUUAAGAUCAGGUUCGUGUCCAACAUAUUUAAUUUAUCCACAAACAAAUCAUAAUUAACUUGAUAUUAUAAUCAUAUUAAUUUUUGUUUAGUGGCUAUUUAGUUCCAUCUUUACUCUUUAAUCAUUUAAGAUGGAUGUGUUAUAGAUUAUAAUAAUAUUAAUAACCAUUUGAGAUGAGUUUGUUAAAAAAUAAAAUCAUUGUCACUUUCUCAUUACAUCACAUUUCUCUAUUUUCUACUCACUAAUUGAGUUGAUUAUAACUAAACCCCAAUGGGCCUCAUGGGCUGUGAAUUGAGUUUAUUACCAUGGGCCUCAUAGUUAUAAGUGGUUGAUUAAUUAUUAUACUGUUAGGACUUAAUUAACAUUGUAUGAUUUAUUUUAUAUCUGCAUGCAAUUAACCCAAAACUCAAUAAAAUGUUAUUAAAGAAGUUUGGGGAGCAGACUGCAAGACUUUCAAUAAAAGUCAUGGGACCAAUUCAUACUGGACCAAAUCCACGAAGCUCAAAAAAAUACAAUGUUUGGUAAGUUAAACUAAUUCUGACCGUUCAUUUUCUAGUUUUAUUUCGAUAAUAAUCCUGAUUUAUUAAUAAUGUAAAUCUCUAAAUCACCAGUAAUUAAAUUCAACCAAGUUUGCAUUUUGUUUACCGACUAUUGACAGCAGAUGCAAUGAUGCAAACAGAAAUGACGGUUGUUUCAGUUGCUGGGCAUCAGCGGCAGCAGCAGAAGAAGAAAAUGACGCCCAAACUGUAAGUCAUAGAAGGAAUAACUAAAAUUAAGAAUGUUAAUUAAAGAGCAAACGAGCUCCAUUGAAUGUAUGUAUGUAUGUAUGUACGUACCAUCCGGUGCAAAAACCAAGGCAUGUGUCGUGAGGGCGGUCCGGCGGUGGAGGUGGCGAAGGAGCAUGGUGCUGUCCUUGUUUAAAAUAUCCCUGGUAACCUUCAGUGGGGCGGACAUCGAGAUGUGAAGAUGGUGGUUGGUGGUGAAUUAAAACUAGUGCAAAACAGUGACGAUAAGAGUUGAUACAAAAAAAAAUUAGAAAGGAAGAAGGUUUCUUAAUUAGUUCUUACCAUGGUGUUCGUUACUCAUCUCUCCGACGUCCCGUCGAAUUGCAGAGUCGAUGUUAAAAAAAAUUAGAUUCACGAUCGAAUCCGAUUAAAGAUUUCAACAAGUAGUAGGUAGAGAUUUUUUCCCCCCUCUUUUUGUCAAUAAAGCUGGUAGGUAGCACAACGUGGCAACACGAUUAAUGAAAAAUGAAAAUAAUAUUUGAUUUUCAAACUCACAGAAUUAAAAACACAUAAGCUUUUGAUUGAAGAAAUGUAGGAUCGACAACAGUAGUAGUUUUAAAUAUAAAACAACACGAUAUAUAAUUCAAUCCAAAACUACUUCAUGAACAAGACAUCAAACGACCAAUCUAAGUACAUAUGAUGUCGGGACUUCUCUUUCACAACAAGGUGUUAAUUGACAGAAUAGCAACAGCAGAAUAAACCCAAGCAGCACAGUUAGGGUUUUGUGUAAAAAAAUGAUAUUGUUCUUCGAUUCUGUUUUUUUUUUUUAAUUAGGGUUUUGUUUAUAAUAAUACCAAAUCAAAGAUUCAUCAGAUAAUAAUCAUAAUACAGCAUAUUUAUAAUCAAAGAACACAGGGUUUCGAUUAUUACAGCAUAUUUAUAAAUAUGGCCGAAUAAAGUGCCGUGUCCAAAAAACAACAACACCCAAAUCCACAUAAAUUAAUUCCAAACACUACUGACAUAAUAAUAGAUUAUUUGAUUAGAUUCUGACUCUCCUUCCUCCGAUCGAUCGCCAUCCUUUAGAACUGGCCGGAACAACCACUAGCUAGCAUGCAGUGCAUGUUCGGUCUUAUUUAAUAAUCUGAAAAUUAAUAAAAGUUGGGGUCAAAAUUAACUAGGACUGUCGUGAUCACUAUAUAUAUUUACCGGUAUAUUAGAUAUAGAUGGAUGGACGUUCAGAAAGGAGAGCUGGGGCAGCAGUUGCAUCAUCAACGACGGUGGUGAUGUGGGUUGUGAUGGUGGUGGUGUGGUGGUGGUGAAUGAUGCACAACUGGGGGAGGUGGAGGGUGGACUACAACCACUGGAGGAGAGUGAUGCGGUGGAGGCGGGGGAGGAGCUUCCUUCACAACCACCACCACAGGAGGUGGGGAUGGUGUAUGGUGAUGAUGCUUCCCUGCAAACAAAAGAUAUAUCAAUUACCCAAUUCAGUCAGUCAUAAAAUAUUAUUGAAAACUGCUGAAGCUUUAUAAUUCAGUCAAGAAAGUGAAAAAAGAUCUGUGAUGAACUUACCUGGAGGAUGAUGGUGGUGGUGAUGUCCGUGAUUCAUUUUUUCCUUCUGCUAUUAAGAACUACUGUAAUUGGGUUAUAUAGAACUGGUAGCUAGGUAUCUUCUUGAUCUACACGACACGUGUAGAGGCGUGUAGGUGUGGAAAUUAAGAUAGACUUCGUUGUUAAGAAAUGAAGUGAUUGGUACAAGAUGAUUUCUUUUUUUACAAAUUGAUUGGCCGGAGUUCCAUCAAUAUUUAUUUCUGAUCUCGACUCGCGUUAGCCCGUAGCGGCGUAGCCCCGUACCGUAUUUAGUUACUUUGAAAAUAAAUAAGUUUGUAAAUCGGACGGAUAACCGGCGUCGACGGUGAUAUAGCUUUUGAUUAAUCUCUGAGACAAUCGAGCAUGUUAAAGAUUCUUGAAUCAAAUUCAACUUGCGUUGCUACUGGUUAAAAUAAACUUUAGAAAUAUAUAUCCAACACUUUAGAAUUUAGAUCUUCAACGGUGCAUGUGGUAGGUAGAAUUACCCCUCGCAGUGAUCAUCAACCUUCUAAACCGGUUGUUAAUCGUAGUUAAAACAGUCAAAUUAAUAGAGAAAAAUUAUAAUAGGAAGAGGAUUUGGUGAAUACCUCCCUAGAUUUUAGUUCUUAGUUGGGUUUUUUAAUAUUUUUUUGUCACAUCCUUAGAUGAGUCUUUAGAGGUUAAGAUUGGGUGGCCGCAUCCGACCACAUUGGGCUAGGGUGCCGCACCUGAAACUUAAUUUUAUUGAUAUCAGACAGAGAAUUUUAACUUUUAUACAAGGUCAAGCUCUAGAGGCUGUUGACAAGCUUAGUUAUUCUUUGCCGGCAACAGUAACUUGGAUGAUUUGUUCAUCAAUUCUAUUUUCAGAACAAGGAAUCAGAUAUGUAAUCUUAAUUAGUUUUUUUAACUUUUCAUUCCAUUUCGAUAUGUAAUCAAUUAUCUGAUAAUUAUUAUUUAUCACAGAUUCACAGCAGAUGUAUAAUAUACUCGGAUAAAGUGACGUAUAUUAAGUUCAAACACUAAUGGCAAUCUGGCAUGGCUUAAAAUAAAUUAUUAAGACCAGAUAAUACAUUAUUUGAUCAGAUUAUAUCUCUCCAAUUUUAUUACCUGCAAAUUAUAUAGAUAGAUGAUGUUCAGAAGAGAGAGCUAGCUGGAGUCUGUAGUUGUCGAUCAUCAGCGAUGGUGGUGUGUUGGUGGUGGAGGAUGGUGCACAGGAGGAGGUGGUGUGUGGACUACAACCACUGGAGGAGUGUGAUGGGACGACGGUGGUGGAGGCGGAGUUUCCUUCACAACAACCACUACAGGAGGUGGGGAUGGAGUAGGAUGAUGAUGCUUCCCUGUAAACCAAAGAUCAACACCAUUCCAGUCAUGAAAUAUUAUCCAAAAGUACAGGAACUUUGCAAUUCACGAUGAGUAAGUAAUUACCUGG
rnacentral:lncRNA from 1 species